rnacentral:lncRNA from 10 species
GAGAAAAAGCACACAAUCCAACUGAAGAGUGAAAGAUGCAGACUUCAGGACAUCAAAGCUUCAGUGAGAAACAUAAUAGUAUAGAUUUGAGGUCCCCUAGCUCCUGAGGAAACAAAAAUGAUUAAUGGAAUUACUGUGGUCUGUGAUCAGUGAAGAUGUCUAUUGAGAAAAAUAAUCAGGAUUGGCACCACAACAUCAGAAGUUAUGCUAUUACCAGCCUGUGCUUUUGGUGUCAUAUCCAAGAAGUCAUUUUUAAACCAACGACAAGAAGAUUUUACCCUAUGUUUCCUUCUAAGAUUUUUAGAGUUUCUGUUCUUACAGUUAAGUCUUUAAUUCAUUUUGAGUUUAUUUUUGUGUGCGAUGUAAAGUAAGGCCCCAAUUUCAUUAUUUUGCAUGUGUAUAUCCAGUUUUCACAACCCAAUUUUUUGAAGAAACUAUCCUUUUUCCAUCGUGUAUUUUUGGCAUUCUUAACAAAAUCAGUUCACCAUAUAUAUGUGGGUUUAUUUAAAAAUGUGUACAUCAUAGGCUUUAAAACCACAUUAUGGCCUAUUAAAGACAUGAGAGAUCAUGUAAACUUUAAAACAACUGCUAAAAUUUUGGCGUGUUUGGUUUUUUAGAAUGUGAUUUCCACCAUGAUUUGGCCAAUCCAAGUAAUUUGGAAGAUUUCUUUGGAAAGGGUGGGGAUAAGGGAUUUUUUUUUUUUAUAGUUUAAGUUCUAG